CACGUAGGGCGCGAGCGUUGUCCGGAAUUAUUGGGCGUAAAGAGCUCGUAGGCGGCCUGUUGCGUCCGCUGUGAAAGCCCGGGGCUUAACCCCGGGUCUGCAGUGGAUACGGGCAGGCUAGAGGUAGGUAGGGGAGCAUGGAAUUCCCGGUGUAGCGGUGAAAUGCGCAGAUAUCGGGAGGAACACCGGUGGCGAAGGCGGUUCUCUGGGCCUUACCUGACGCUGAGGAGCGAAAGCGUGGGGAGCGAACAGG
rnacentral:rRNA from 1 species